rnacentral:rRNA from 1 species
GACGAGCGCUGGCGGCGUGCUUAACACAUGCAAGUCGAACGGUAAGGCCCUGCUUUUGUGGGGUGCUCGAGUGGCGAACGGGUGAGUAACACGUGAGUAACCUGCCCUUGACUUUGGGAUAACUUCAGGAAACUGGGGCUAAUACCGGCUAGGAGCUCCUGCUGCCUGGUGGGGGUUGGAAAGUUUCGGCGGUUGGGGAUGGACUCGCGGCUUAUCAGCUUGUUGGUGGGGUAGUGGCUUACCCAGGCUUUGACGGGUAGCCGGCCUGAGAGGGUGACCGGCCACAUUGGGACUGAGAGACGGACCAGACUCCUACGGGAGGCAGCAGGGGGGAAUAUUGCACAAUGGGCGGAAGCCUGAUGCAGCAACGCCGCGUGCGGGAUGACGGCCUUCGGGUGGUAAACCGCUUUCGCCUGUGACGAAGCGUGAGUGACGGUAAUGGGUAAAGAAGCACCGGCUAACUACGUG